rnacentral:hammerhead_ribozyme from 1 species
ACACUGCUGACGAAUCCCAAACAGGACGAAACAGCUGUUCAGUAC